UGCGUGUCAGUGCACAGGUGCACAGGUGUGUGCAGGUGUGUGCAGGUGUGUGCAGGUGUGUGCAGGUGUGCAAAGGUGUGUGUACAGGUGUGUACAGGUGUGUGCAGGUGUGUGCAGGUGUGUGCAGGUGUGCAAAGGUGUGUGUACAGGUGUGUAC
rnacentral:lncRNA from 1 species